rnacentral:rRNA from 1 species
GGGGAAUCUUGGACAAUGGGCGCAAGCCUGAUCCAGCCAUGCCGCGUGAGUGAAGAAGGCCUUAGGGUUGUAAAACUCUUUCGCCGGAGAAGAUAAUGACGGUAUCCGGAGAAGAAGCCCCGGCUAACUUCGUGCCAGCAGCCGCGGUAAUACGAAGGGGGCUAGCGUUGUUCGGAAUUACUGGGCGUAAAGCGCACGUAGGCGGGUUUGUAAGUAGGGGGUGAAAUCCCAGGGCUCAACCCUGGAACUGCCUUCUAGACUGCAAGCCUGGAGGUCAGGAGAGGCGAGUGGAAUACCGAGUGUAGAGGUGAAAUUCGUAGAUAUUCGGUGGAACACCAGUGGCGAAGGCGACUCGCUGGACUGAUACUGACGCUGAGGUGCGAAAGCGUGGGGAGCAAAC